UACGUAGGUGGCAAGCGUUUGUCCGGAUUUACUGGGCGUAAAGAGCGCGCAGGCGGUCGUGCAAGUCGCGUGUGAAAGCCCCCGGCUCAACUGGGGAGGGUCACGCGAUACUGUUCGACUCGAAGGCAGGAGAGGGAAGUGGAAUUCCCGGUGUAGUGGUGAAAUGCGUAGAUAUCGGGAGGAACACCAGUGGCGAAGGCGACUUCCUGGCCUGUUCUUGACGCUGAGGCGCGAAAGCUAGGGUAGCAAACGGG
rnacentral:rRNA from 1 species